rnacentral:rRNA from 1 species
UGAUGACGAGACGCUAAGGCGUUGAAGCAGUGUAUGUCAGACUUCCAAGAAAAGCUCGCAAUGUCACAAAUAAAAAGUGCCUGUACCAUAACCGACACAGGUGGGUAGGUAGAGUAUACUAAGGGGCGCGAGAUAACUCUCUCUAAGGAACUCGGCAAAAUGACUCCGUAACUUCGGGAGAAGGAGUGCCUUAUUUAUAAGGUUGCAAUAACAAGAUCCAAGCAACUGUUUAUCAAAAACACAGGUCUCCGCUAAGUCGUAAGACGAUGUAUGGGGGCUGACGCCUGCCCAGUGCCAGAAGGUUAAAGAAGUUGGUUAGUGUAUGCGAAGCUGAUGACUGAAGCCCUGGUGAACGGCGGCCGUAACAAUAACGGUCCUAAGGUAGCGAAAUUCCUUGUCGGGUAAGUUCCGACCCGCACGAAAGGCGUAAUGAUUUGGAUACUGUCUCGGAGAGAGGCUCGGUGAAAUAGACUUGUCUGUGAAGAUGCGGACUACCUGCACCAGGACAGAAAGACCCUAUGAAGCUUUACUGUAACUUGAAAUUGGAAUUGGACUUUGCUUGCGCAGUAUAGGUGGGAAGCGUUGAAAAUAUUCUUGCGGGAGUAUUGGAGCUAUCAGUGAGAUACCACUCUUGUAAUGUUAGAUUUCUAACUUUGAACCAUAAUCUGGUCAAAGAACAGUUUCAGGUGGGCAGUUUGACUGGGGCGGUCGCCUCCCAAAUGGUAACGGAGGCGUACAAAGGUUUCCUCUGAACGGAUAGAAAUCGUAUCUAGAGUGUAAAGGCAUAAGGAAGCUUGACUGUGAGACCUACAAGUCGAGCAGGGACGAAAGUCGGUCUUAGUGAUCUGACGGUACUGAGUGGAAAGGCCGUCACUCAACGGAUAAAAGUUACUCUAGGAUAACAGGCUGAUCUCCCCCAAGAGUUCACAUCGACGGGGAGGUUUGGCACCUCGAUGUCGGCUCAUCGCAUCCUGGGGCGGUAGUACGUCCCAAGGGUUGGGCUGUUCGCCCAUGAAAGCGGUACGCGAGCUGGGUUCAGAACGUCGUGAGACAGUUCGGUCCAUAUCCGGUGUAGGCGCUAGAAUAUUGAGAGGAGCCUUCUUUAGUACGAGAGGACCGAGAAGGACACACCGCUGGUGUACCAGUUAUCGUGCCAACGGUAAACGCUGGGUAGCUAUGUGUGGAGUGGAUAACCGCUGAAAGCAUCUAAGUGGGAAGCCCACCUCAAGAUGAUUGCUCUCACAGGGUUAACCUGGUAAGGUCACGGGUAGACCACCCGUUGAUAGGCACUC